GCCGAAGUGGCGGAAUCGGCAGACGCGCUAGUUUCAGGUACUAGUGGGCGCAAGCCCGUGGGGGUUCAAGUCCCUCCUUCGGCA
rnacentral:tRNA from 1 species